AAUUGUUUCAAUAAAUGUGAAGCAAUUAUUUCACUCAAUGUUUAGUUACCAGUCAAUCUUUUAAAAAAAUCUGACUCAGUAAAUGCUGUCAAACUGAAGAGGUGGGGGGAGAGAGCUGAGAAAACCUACAGCUGUCACCAACACCACAACCCAGCCCACAUCAGCAGGGUGCUCCCUGUCAAUGUUGUGGCAGCCCCCAGUCAGAAGCAGCAAGUUGUGGCCAUCCCACUUCUGGUGGCCGUCUGAGAUGUGUCCCUUGCUCUGCUGAAUGACACAGAUGCUCAUCUCAUAUGCUGAGAACAACAGCAUGUAACCCAGCCAUCUAAGCACAGAUGAACCAUGGGUUUAUGCAUCAACUGUCUACUUUGGCCUCCAUCCUUUCCUAGCACUUAAUUUGUUUCACCACCAGUUAGCACUGAGCUGACACUUCCUCAGGACUAUUUCUCUUGACCUUAGAUUCAAGUUCAGACUUGUCCCUGCUCUGGCU